CCUGGUGGCUUAGAUUGUAAAGAAUCUGCCUGCAAUGCAGAAGAUCCAGGUUCAAUCCCUGGGUCAGGA
rnacentral:tRNA from 1 species